rnacentral:rRNA from 1 species
GUUGUAUAGUCAAGUAAUUAAGUGCAUGUGGUGGAUGCCUUGGCAGUCAGAGGCGAUGAAAGACGUAAUAGCCU